rnacentral:rRNA from 1 species
CAAGUCGAGCGGACAGAUGGGAGCUUGCUCCCUGAUGUUAGCGGCGGACGGGUGAGUAACACGUGGGUAACCUGCCUGUAAGACUGGGAUAACUCCGGGAAACCGGGGCUAAUACCGGAUGGUUGUUUGAACCGCAUGGUUCAAACAUAAAAGGUGGCUUCGGCUACCACUUACAGAUGGACCCGCGGCGCAUUAGCUAGUUGGUGAGGUAACGGCUCACCAAGGCAACGAUGCGUAGCCGACCUGAGAGGGUGAUCGGCCACACUGGGACUGAGACACGGCCCAGACUCCUACGGGAGGCAGCAGUAGGGAAUCUUCCGCAAUGGACGAAAGUCUGACGGAGCAACGCCGCGUGAGUGAUGAAGGUUUUCGGAUCGUAAAGCUCUGUUGUUAGGGAAGAACAAGUACCGUUCGAAUAGGGCGGUACCUUGACGGUACCUAACCAGAAAGCCACGGCUAACUACGUGCCAGCAGCCGCGGUAAUACGUAUGUGGCAAGCGUUGUCCGGAAUUAUUGGGCGUAAAGGGCUCGCAGGCGGUUUCUUAAGUCUGAUGUGAAAGCCCCCGGCUCAACCGGGGAGGGUCAUUGGAAACUGGGGAACUUGAGUGCAGAAGAGAGAGUGGAAUUCCACGUGUAUCGGUGAAAUGCGUAUAGAUGUGGGAGGAACAC